rnacentral:lncRNA from 1 species
AAGGUUUCAAAGAGGAGACGUUUGACUUGAGUUUUUAAGGAUGAGUUGAAGUUGAUCAGGAAGAUGGGCCUGUUAGGCAGCGGGAAUGGUGGUAUCAAUCGACAUGGUUUGCUCACAAUAUUCUCAUUGCUAGUUUCAUGGAUGUAUCCUGUGGCUUCUCCAUGAGAUAAUGAAGUUCUUGAAAGUGGGAGUGUCAUUUACACUCCUACCUGCAGACAGCAUCCUGACUACCGAUGCCCUGAACACACAUGGUGAAUUUGGCUGAAAUGAAGCAUUCUGUGCCUGCCCCACAAACCACCAAGGGACUGUGGGUUUAUUUGUCUCAAGAUGGUCAACACUGCUGUUUUCACAUUUUACUUGCUGUCAAAUAUAAAGAGAUAUCAUAUGUUGCCCGCCUCUGGUUUUCCUGAUGUCUCAAUUUAAGUGGUUUCCAAUUUGGGUAUGAAAUUAUCCAUCAGUCACAGAGAGAACUGGUGCCUUCAGCAGUGGCUGUUGGAAUAAGCCAGGGCUUAACUGGGGAAGCUAAUGGUGGAGGAGCAAGGGCUGGCUAGCAGAGGUUUGGCCCUGCUCCUCCAGGUCCCCUCUGGAAUACCACUUCUCCCCACUGGAUGGUGGGCUGUGUCUAGCCCAUUCCCCAAGAUCCAGUUUGGAUGACACUUCACCUAUUUAUUCAUUGGAUGCUAAUAGUGUCUUCCCUACGCCAGGGACUGACCUAGGCAUCAGGGAUGCAGAGAGCAGGCCUUGGUCACUGUCCCCUGGACUCACACAGUCUGCAGCCUGGUGGAGGAGACACCAUGUGAGCUGAGCUAUAAUGACUGAAUCCAGUCCCUCACCAGAUGCAGUAACCUACAAGUGUCUGUUGCUCAGAAUGUCUUUAUUUUGAUCAGUCACUUCCACAGAGGACUGCCCAAAGAGACGCCUCUGUCCAGCUCUCGGGUCUGUCUGUGUGGAGUACGAGGCGUGUAGCCCUGGUGAUCGUAGAGUGAUGUUAGAUGUCUCAGGGUCAGGUGUUGAAUAAUAUGGGCUCUGCUUGGGAAGGUGUUCCCCUUUUCCUUUUGGCCAUGCUGGUGAGGUCUGAGGUUGAUGCUAGCCCGGCUUUAACUCUUGGAGACCCUGACAAAGUGAGUGUGGGCCUCUGGGUCAUGGUGCCGUCGGCCACUGGGAAGUUCCGAGCUCUCAGAUGCGGCUGCAGUAGACUCCGCUCAGAAAGUCCAGACGCCUUGAGGCCAAGGCUCACCCCCAGAUCAGCUGCAGGAGAAUCUCUUCAAUGGGACCUGGGCACCUCUCACUGUUUUGCAUGAUUCUGAUGCUCC